rnacentral:rRNA from 1 species
GGUGAGUAAUACUUAGGAAUCUACCUAGUAGUGGGGGAUAGCACGGGGAAACUCGUAUUAAUACCGCAUACGACCUACGGGAGAAAGGGGGCAGUUUACUGCUCUCGCUAUUAGAUGAGCCUAAGUCGGAUUAGCUAGAUGGUGGGGUAAAGGCCUACCAUGGCGACGAUCUGUAGCUGGUCUGAGAGGAUGAUCAGCCACACCGGGACUGAGACACGGCCCGGACUCCUACGGGAGGCAGCAGUGGGGAAUAUUGGACAAUGGGGGAAACCCUGAUCCAGCCAUGCCGCGUGUGUGAAGAAGGCCUUUUGGUUGUAAAGCACUUUAAGCAGUGAAGAAGACUCCAUGGUUAAUACCCAUGGACGAUGACAUUAGCUGCAGAAUAAGCACCGGCUAACUCUGUGCCAGCAGCCGCGGUAAUACAGAGGGUGCAAAGCGUUAAUCGGAAUUACUGGGCGUAAAGGGAGCGUAGGUGGCUCUAUAAGUCAGAUGUGAAAUCCCCGGGCUUAACCCUGGGAACUGCAUCUGAAACUGUAGAGCUAGAGUAUGUGAGAGGAAGGUAGAAUUCCAGGUGUAGCGGUGAAAUGCGUAGAGAUCUGGAGGAAUACCGAUGGCGAAAGGCAGCCUUUCUGGCAUAAUACUGACACUGAGGCUCGAAAGCGUGGGUAGCAAACAGGAUUAGAUACCCUGGUAGUCCACGCCGUAAACGAUGUCUACUNAGUCGUUGGGUCCCUUGAGGACUUAGUGACGCAGCUAACGCAAUAAGUAGANCCGCCUGGGGAGUACNGGCCGCAAGGUUAAAANCUCAAAUGAAUUGACGGGGGCCCGNCACAAGCGGUGGAGCAUGUGGUUUAAUUCGAUGCAACGCGAAGAACCUUACCUGGUCUUGACAUAUCUAGAAUCCUGCAGAGAUGCGGGAGUGCCUUCGGGAAUUAGAAUACAGGUGCUGCAUGGCUGUCGUCAGCUCGUGUCGUGAGAUGUUGGGUUAAGUCCCGCAACGAGCGCAACCCUUGUCCUUAGUUGCCAGCGGGUUAAGCCGGGAACUCUAAGGAUACUGCCAGUGACAAACUGGAGGAAGGCGGGGACGACGUCAAGUCAUCAUGGCCCUUACGACCAGGGCUACACACGUGCUACAAUGGUAGGUACAGAGGGCAGCUACACAGCGAUGUGAUGCGAAUCUCAAAAAGCCUAUCGUAGUCCAGAUUGG